GAUGAACGCUGGCGGCAUGCCUAACACAUGCCAGUCGAUCGGUAAGGCUCUUCGGAGUACACGAGAGGCGGACGGCUGAGUAACGCGUAGGAACACACCCUGCAGUGAGGGAUAAGACACCGAAAGGUGUUCUAAUACCGCAUACGGUCUUCGGAUUAAAGCAUUUAUGCGCUGAAGGAGUGGCCUGCGUCAUAUUAGAUAGUUGGUGAGGUAAUGGCUCACCAAGUCGAUGAUGUGUAGCUGGUCUGAGAGGAUGAUCAGCCAGACUGGAACUGAGACACGGUCCAGACUCCUACGGGAGGCAGCAGUGAGGAAUAUUUCACAAUGAGCGAAAGCUUGAUGGAGCAAUGCCGCGUGCAGGAUGAAGGCCCUCGGGUUGUAAACUGCUUUUAUAAGAGAAGAUUAUGACGGUAACUUAUGAAUAAGGGACGGCUAACUACGUG
rnacentral:rRNA from 1 species